GAUGAACGCUGGCGGCGUGCUUAACACAUGCAAGUCGAACGAGAAGUGAAGACGGAAACCUUCGGGCGGAAGGCUUUAUUUCGAGUGGCGGACGGGUGAGUAACGCGUGGGUAACCUGCCUCAUACAGGGGGAUAACAGUUGGAAACGACUGUUAAUACCGCAUAAGACCACCGCACCGCAUGGUGCGGGGGUAAAAACUCCGGUGGUAUGAGAUGGACCCGCGUUGGAUUAGCCAGUUGGCGGGGUAACGGCCCACCAAAGCGACGAUCGAUAGCCGAUCUGAGAGGAUGGCCGGCCACAUUGAGACUGAGACACGGCCCAAACUCCUACGGGAUGCAGCAGUGGGGAAUAUUGCACAAUGGGGGAAACCCUGAUGCAGCGACGCCGCGUGAGUGAAGAAGUAUUUCGGUAAGUAAAGCUCUAUCAGCAGGGAAGAAAAUGACGGUACCUAAGUAAGAAGCCCCGGCUAACUACGUG
rnacentral:rRNA from 1 species